rnacentral:rRNA from 1 species
GGAUUGGUGCCUUCGGGAACUCUGACACAGGUGCUGCAGGGCUGUCGUCAGCUCGUGUCGUGAGAUGUUGGGUUAAGUCCCGUAACGAGCGCAACCCUUGUCCUUAGUUACCAGCACGUUAUGGUGGGCACUCUAAGGAGACUGCCGGUGACAAACCGGAGGAAGGUGGGGAUGACGUCAAGUCAUCAUGGCCCUUACGGCCUGGGCUACACACGUGCUACAAUGGUCGGUACAAAGGGUUGCCAAGCCGCGAGGUGGAGCUAAUCCCAUAAAACCGAUCGUAGUCCGGAUCGCAGUCUGCAACUCGACUGCGUGAAGUCGGAAUCGCUAGUAAUCGUGAAUCAGAAUGUCACGGUGAAUACGUUCCCGGGCCUU